CACACACACACACACACAUACACACAUACACACAUACUCCCCAUACCUCCCACCCUUGGUUACCAACAGGAUGUAAAUCCAAAAUGACUGCUAUGUAACUGGUUUCUGUGCAUUAGUCCUGCAGUGUUAGCCGAUCGCCAAAUCACAAACACAGGAGUUCAGUGGUCUGCGUGGGGAAUGUGAAAUACCUGUACUUUUGGGUAGUAGGAGCUGCUGAACGUGUCAGGUAUUAGGGUGACUGCCUCAGAACUUCAUCAGGUAUCAGAGCAACUACCUCGGCGCUACAUCAGGUAUCAGCGUAACUGCCAAGGUACUAUGUCAGGUAUCAGCGUAACUGCCAAGGUACUAUGUCAGGUAUCAGCGUAACUGCCAAGGUACUAUGUCAGGUAUCAGCGUAACUGCCAAGGUACUAUGUCAGGUAUCAGCGUAACUGCCAAGGUACUAUGUCAGGUAUCAGCGUAACUGCCAAGGUACUAUGUCAGGUAUCAGCGUAACUGCCAAGGUACUAUGUCAGGUAUCAGCGUAACUGCCAAGGUACUAUGUCAGGUAUCAGCUUGACUGCCUCAGAGCUGCAUCAGGUAUCAGCGUAACUGCCAUGGCACUACGUCAGGUAUCAGCGUAACUGCCAUGGCGCUACGUCAGGUAUCAGCGUAACUGCCAAGGCACUACGUCGGGUAUCAGCGUAACUGCCUCGGCGCUGUGUCGGGUAUCAGCGUAACUGCCAAGGCACUACGUCGGGUAUCAGCGUAACUGCCAAGGCGCUACGUCAGGUAUCAGCUUGACUGCCUCAGAGCUGUAUCAGGUAUCAGCUUGACUGCCUCAGAGCUGCGUCGAGUAUCAGCGUAACUGCCAAGGCACUACGUCGGGUAUUAGCAUAACUGUCUCACCGCUGCGCCAGGUAUUUGAGUAACUGCCCCAGGAGUGGCGCUGCUGUUGAGCUAUUCUGUAAGUAAAUAAAAUGAUAAAUUGAGAGUAAUGAAGAUGGGGCAUCAUAUCAGGAUGAAGGGCUUCUUUUGACUUUUCUGCCAUUUCCCCGGCAGCCCCAAAUUAAAUCUGUCUUCCAUGAGAGUCGAUGACUAACUGCAUUACAGCCAGGUUUGGAUCUGUGUAAUCAGCCAAUCAGGGUUGACUGGCUCUGAGAAACCUCUCCUAUCAGGUCAGAUGUAGGAGGUCUCUCAGACCCAAUCAGGACUGGCAGGAUAGGUCUCUCACACAAAGCAGCUCCUCUCUUCUCAGAUCAUUUUUCACUUCUUGGUUUUGUGCAAUUUUGGUAAAUGCUCUGGCUCUAUGACCAGGGGGUGGGGCUUAUGAUUUAUGGGCUGGUGAUUGGUCAGUGCCCUCCCAGGCAUUCCUUGUGGCAGUGAUGGCUUCCCGGGAAUGUGGUUUGUUACUGAUUAACGUUAAUGAGUGUCAGGAACUGCCACCAUGACAGGGAGGCAUUUCACAACGCUGUUCUAUGAGCUCCUUUAAAUAUGACUGUUCUCCUCCUGGAGGCUGUUCUCUUUAUCGCAGAGACAAGAAUUGCUGCAUUAAAUGAGUUUUUAAAAGGUCUUCGUCAGCAUUUUGAGGUUGACUGUAUUGUUUUUGGUGGACAUAUGGUUUUUUACAGUAUGCGGAGCUGUUUGAGGUGAAAAAGGAAAGUUUUAUGACUGUCUCAAGUAUUUUGCCUAAGUUUACGUUCUCGCACACCAAUGUGACCAAAUCUCAGAGAGUCAAUUUAUAAAUGCACACAGCAGGCUGUGCUUCUGAAGGAGGUCUGAAAUUGCAAUUUAAAAAAAGGUUUAUUCCUUAAGCCCCACUGCUAAGUGUUUAAUGCUGUUAGUGUGUCCUGAUAUGGAAGACUGUCUGCCCUUUCCUCAGUAAUUCAGGAAUUCAUAUUGACACUUCCCGUUCGGAGAUAAAUCAGCUGAAAA